GCAGUCGUGUGUUACCGUUGCUGGCAGCAGCAGAGCCUUUCUGUGCUCAUGGCACACUGGGAAUACGAGGAAGUCCUGAAGAAGAUCGCUUGGACUUUGGAAAAGUGAAAGCAGGAAAACUGAUCCUACAAAAUGUCUGCUGUAUGGACUGUGGAGUAAGGACUUGGAUCUGAAGUCAGGAACACAAGAAGUGACAGCAUUUCUUCAAACCUCAUCUUAAAGGCCAAAACACUGGAUACUUAAAGACUGCAAGUGAUCGUCUGCCAAAGAAAUUUAGAAGCCAACAGAUCAGUAUGUGGCGCUCAGGUAGGCUGCCUUAUUUGUUCCUUACAAAUGUUGACAAUAUGGAACAUUUUAAUAAUUAGCCAAUGU